CCUACGGGGGGCUGCAGUGAGGAAUAUUGGUCAAUGGGCGCGAGCCUGAACCAGCCAAGUCGCGUGAGGGAAGACGGUCCUAUGGAUUGUAAACCUCUUUUGUCGGGGAGCAAAAGACGCCACGCGUGGCGUUACGAGAGUACCCGAAGAAAAAGCAUCGGCUAACUCCGUGCCAGCAGCCGCGGUAAUACGGAGGAUGUGAGUGUUAUCCGGAUUUAUUGGGUUUAAAGGGUGCGCAGGCGGAAGAUCAAGUUAGAGGUAAAAUUGAGAGGCUCAACCUCUUCGAGCCGUUGAAACUGGUUUUCUUGAGUGAGCGAGAAGUAUGCGGAAGGCGUGGUGUAGCGGUGAAAUGCAUAGAUAUCACGCAGAACUCCGAUGGCGAAGGCAGCAUACCGGCGCUUAACUGACGCUCAGGCACGAAAGUGUGGGUAGCGAACAGGAUUAGAUACCCUAGUAGUC
rnacentral:rRNA from 1 species